AUACGUAGGGGGCAAGCGUUGUCCGGAAUUAUUGGGCGUAAAGCGCGCGCAGGCGGUUCUUUAAGUCUGGUGUUUAAACCCGAGGCUCAACUUCGGGACGCACUGGAAACUGGGGAACUUGAGUGCAGAAGAGGAGAGUGGAAUUCCACGUGUAGCGGUGAAAUGCGUAGAUAUGUGGAGGAACACCAGUGGCGAAGGCGACUCUCUGGGCUGUAACUGACGCUGAGGCGCGAAAGCGUGGGGAGCGAACAGGAUUAGAUACCCUGGUAGUCCACGCCGUAAACGAUGAAUGCUAGGUGUUAGGGGUUUCGAUACCCUUGGUGCCGAAGUUAACACAUUAAGCAUUCCGCCUGGGGAGUACGGUCGCAAGACUGAA
rnacentral:rRNA from 1 species